GACAGAGGGGGCAAGCGUUGCUCGGAAUCACUGGGCGUAAAGGGCGCGUAGGCGGGAUGGCAAGUCGGUCGUGAAAUCCCUCGGCUCAACCGAGGAGCGUCGGCCGAUACUGCCGUUCUUGAGGGAUGCAGAGGAGACUGGAAUUCCCGGUGUAGCGGUGAAAUGUGUAGAGAUCGGGAGGAACACCGGUGGCGAAGGCGGGUCUCUGGGCCGAUAUCGACGCUGAGGAGCGAAAGCGUGGGGAGCGAACAGG
rnacentral:rRNA from 1 species